rnacentral:rRNA from 1 species
GACGAACGCUGGCGGCGUGCUUAACACAUGCAAGUCGAGCGGUAAGGCCCUUUCGGGGGUACACGAGCGGCGAACGGGUGAGUAACACGUGGGUGACCUGCCCUCAGCUCUGGGAUAAGCCCUGGGAAACCGGGUCUAAUACCGGAUAUGACUCCAUGACGCAUGUUGUGGGGUGGAAAGCCUUGUGCGGCUGAGGAUGGGCCCGCGGCCUAUCAGCUUGUUGGUGGGGUGAUGGCCUACCAAGGCGACGACGGGGUAGCCGGCCUGAGAGGGCGACCGGCCACACUGGGACUGAGACACGGCCCAGACUCCUACGGGAGGCAGCAGUGGGGAAUCUUGCGCAAUGGGCGAAAGCCUGACGCAGCGACGCCGCGUGA